UAGGCACUGGACCGUAAUUCAACACUCCGGGAUCGGCUUUGUUUAGAAAGAUCUUGACAGAACCGCUUCCCAGAAGUUAUCAGAAUGAUUGUGUCGACAAUUUUUCUCAGUUUAUUACUGACUUUCUUAUCAUGUGUCCAGUCGGAGGUUGUUUUGACCCAGCCAGAGGCAGAGACUGGCCAUCCCGGAAGCAGCCUGACACUGACCUGUAAAACCAGCGGGUUCGAUCUCAGCAGCAGCUACAUGAGCUGGGUCCGCCAGGUUCCCGGCCAGGGUCUGGAGUGGCUGGUUAGCUACUAUAGUUCAUCCAGCAAUAACUAUGCACCAGCGAUUCAGGGUCGAUUUACUGCGUCCAAAGACAAUUCAAACAACAUUUUCUCGUUGAAAAUGACUAACCUGAAGAUCGAAGACACCGCCAUCUAUUACUGUGCAAGAGACCACAGCGAGAGGAACCAGGGCUGAACCCGUUCAAAAACAGCUCGAGGGAACAUUUUGUCAAUUCCAUCAUAAACUGAUGGUCAGUUUGAGUUUUAAAUGCAAUUAUACCAACUGCGAUCUGAAGCAGACCUCAGGCUGCCUCUUACAAAGCUAUCAAAGAGGAAAUGUACCAUUGAAACUAGCAAACUGGUGACACAAUGGGACAAUGUUUUAGG